CUUAUACUCCCUUCUUCCAGAAAUAUUUGUCGAAAAAAUUGAUAUAUCUAGACGUAUUUGAAUAUACAUCCACUUUUAUUCGUUUCUUCGACGAAUAUUUCUGGACAGAGGGAGUACUCA
rfam:Triticum urartu cultivar G1812 contig490702, whole genome shotgun sequence.